UGAAUCCUCCUUGCCCAGGAAAAUGGCUCCAACACUCACAUAAUCAACAAAGGAGAAGGCAGUGCAGGAGAACUCAGAGUUUACCCAACUGACUCGGAUCUCUGAUCUUGUGGGCUGAACUUCUGCUGACCUCCAGGAAACAAUAUGGGACAAUUUCCAUAAGGUUUAAAUCCCUAAGGCCCUAUUCUAACACAGCAGAGGAUGAAGACACUCUCACUGAUUUCAGUGGGGAAGAUUACUUGCAUCCUCUAACAAGAGAACAGGAACCCUGCCAUCAGGUCUUCAACUGGGGUAAAUCA